UGAUUCCUUAUUCCUUAUGUAAGUUGUGCCAUAAAGUGGAACUUUCCAAAGUUUAAUUCUUGAUGUUAAUGAAUUGUUUUAUCAGUCUGUUGUAUCAGUGUUCGUAAUUUAAUGAUGUUGUUUAUUUUUCAGAUUCCAGUGCCCCACCGCCUCCAGCUGCCCCGGCGGCCCCUGCUGCCCCACCCCCUCCGGCCCCAGCCCCACCCCCACCACCAGGUGGCGCUCCCCCUCCCCCUCCUCCUCCUCCUCCACCCCCGCCUCCGCCCCCGCCUCCUCCAAUGUGAGCAACUUUGGGAUGGACUCAGUACUCCAAAACCCAGUGUCCACAUACAAUAUAGUAAAAGGACCUAUGUGCAAUUUUGUAAAAUCAGAUAUAGGACAUAAACAAUACAUGUAUAUAUUUUUUUAAGAACUCUAUAGGAAAAAUGAAUUACAAAUUACGAAGUAUACUUUUAUGAGAAUACUGAUUUGGACAUGAUUAGAAUUUAUUGUUGAUUCACAUUAUGGCUUUGCUUGAAGUUUGAAAUUGUGCUAUAUUGAUUCUAUUUUUGUAGCUAUGAAAUGUGAAUAAGCUUAUAAGUGUCAAACAGAGAUUAUGAACAAUAUUGAUGUAUCUACUAGGAAAUAAAAUAUGCAAUCUU
rnacentral:misc_RNA from 1 species